UACGUAGGGUGCAAGCGUUGUCCGGAAUUAUUGGGCGUAAAGAGCUCGUAGGCGGUCUGUCGCGUCUGCUGUGAAAACUCGGGGCUUAACCCCGGGCCUGCAGUGGGUACGGGCAGACUAGAGUGCGGUAGGGGAGACUGGAAUUCCUGGUGUAGCGGUGAAAUGCGCAGAUAUCAGGAGGAACACCGGUGGCGAAGGCGGUUCUCUGGGCCUGACCUGACGCUGAGGAGCGAAAGCGUGGGGAGCGAACAGG
rnacentral:rRNA from 1 species